GUCGGCGAUGGUUAACAAUUCUAAUAAUUUCAGCAAAUACUAUUGUAUUAUAAAUAUAAUAUAUUGUAUAUUUUGAUUUCAGUGAACAAAAAAACAAUAAGCCACUAAUAUAAACAGACAGUUCGUUAAACCGUACAUAUUAUAAUUUUCAGUUCAUCGGAGUGAGAUGAUUAGAUGGAGAUGGAUGAAGAUGGCUGUUUCUUCGGCGAUGGCGGCACUCUAGCUACGUUUCACCGGAAGAGUAGAUGUUUACGAUCAUUGCAGAAGACACAUUCGACUAAAAAUUCUAAAAUUUCAAUAAGCAAAGAAGAUAUUCUAAGUUCUGGCUGUAUUCUGGAGCGUUUCCUCAUGGGCGUCGCAAUUCAC